CCACGAACACUUUGAACAGUCACCACCGUAGCACGAAAGUGUCGAUUGCAGGACCUUUGACGCAGUACAUGUACUCGUAAUGGGACGUAGCAGGCGGACUGGCUGUGACGUACCUUCGCAGUCUGGAAUGGAUAUGGUGGCUGAAGUGGAACUCGACUUCGUGACCAAGACAAACUCGUCUAUAUUCAUCCGGACUACUGGUCGCAACUUCUCAGUGUGAGAUUCUGGACUUGCAAAUUCAUGCAGCAGAGUUUCAACCUUAUUCCAAGGUGCAUGCCCCUUCUUGAACUGUGUCUUUCGUCUUGUAUUGCCUUCCAUGGAUGUGACUCGUAGUGUAUAAAAUAGUGAAAUACG